AGCGAACGCUGGCGGCAGGCCUAACACAUGCAAGUCGAACGAAGUCUUCGGACUUAGUGGCGGACGGGUGAGUAACACGUGGGAACGUGCCUUUAGGUUCGGAAUAACUCAGGGAAACUUGUGCUAAUACCGAAUGUGCCCUUCGGGGGAAAGAUUUAUCGCCUUUAGAGCGGCCCGCGUCUGAUUAGCUAGUUGGUGAGGUAAAGGCUCACCAAGGCGACGAUCAGUAGCUGGUCUGAGAGGAUGAUCAGCCACAUUGGGACUGAGACACGGCCCAAACUCCUACGGGAGGCAGCAGUGGGGAAUCUUGCGCAAUGGGCGAAAGCCUGACGCAGCCAUGCCGCGUGAAUGAUGAAGGUCUUAGGAUUGCAAAAUUCUUUCACCGGGGACGAUAAUGACGGUACCCGGAGAAGAAGCCCCGGCUAACUUCGUGCCAGCAGCCGCGGUAAUAC
rnacentral:rRNA from 1 species